rnacentral:rRNA from 1 species
AUUGAACGCUGGCGGAAUGCUUUACACAUGCAAGUCGAACGGUAGAGGGGGCAACCCCUCGAGAGUGGCGAACGGGUGAGUAAUAUAUCGGAACGUGCCCAGUCGUGGGGGAUGAUGUAGCGACAGAUACGGUAAUACCGCCUACGAUCUAAGGAUGAAAGCGGGAGAUCGAACGACCUCGCGCGAGUGGAGCGGCCGAUAUCAGAUUAGGUAGUUGGUGGGGUAAAGGCGCACCAAGCCAACAAUCUGUAGCUGGUCUGAGAGGACGACCAGCCACCCUGGAACUGAGACACGGUCCAGACUCCUACGGGAGGCAGCAGUGGGGAAUUUUGGACAAUGGACGCAAGUCUGAUCCAGCCAUUCCGCGUGCAGGAUGAAGGCCCUCGGGUUGUAAACUGCUUUUGUACGGAACGAAAAGGUCUCUCUUAAUACGGGGGACUCAUGACGGUACCGUAAGAAUAAGCACCGGCUAACUACGUGCCAGCAGCCGCCGUAA